ensembl:ncRNA F46F3.9 ncRNA
AGAGAAGAAGCCGAGAGAAGCGUACGCUCACACACGCGUUCACUCACACAAUUGCGCAAUUAAUUUAGUUGUAAUACGCGUUGCCGACGUGCGCAAGACUAUGCAACGAUGAGAAGGAAGUGAGUGAAAAGUGAAAAAAAAAAACAAAAUUUAUAAUCGAAAAUUAAUCGACUGACCAGUUUUUUUUUGGCGAUCUUUCCUUCAC